ensembl:snRNA U6 U6 spliceosomal RNA
GUGCUCCUUCAGCAGCUCGUAUACUGGAAUUGGACCGAUACAGAGACGAUUGGUGUGGCCCCUGCACAGGAUGACACACGGGGUCAUGAAGCGUUCCUUAUUCAA